GGGGACGACCUGGUUUCGACAGGGGUCACGAAGUAGCUUGGUGCAUGUCAAGGUCCAGUCACCUUGUUAAUCCGCUGGAAAACAAAUAAACGCCAAUAACAAGCGUUUCGCUCUCGCCGCCUAAUUAAGGCGAGGACCACACCGGUUUGCCUCUAGGCCGGGCUAGUUCGCUAGCAGUGGUUUUAUACUAAUACAGGCUGGAUCACUACGAGGGCGCUGCGUAGUGGUUGAGACUUAAAGAGUGUCUGGUCUGAUCAGAGCCGGUUUGAGGGCGUGAAGUCAGAUGAGAUUUUUUAAAUGUUCAAACUAAACAUGUAGAGCCGGUUAUGGACGAUUCUUGGACGCGGGUUCAAUUCCCGCCGUCUCCACCA
rnacentral:tmRNA from 1 species